rnacentral:lncRNA from 1 species
CUUACCUCCUGAUUCCCACUACAGUGCUCUUUCCACUAAACACCGACUGAAAGAACAGAGCAGCUUCCGGGAUUUUUUGUAGUGGAAGAGAUGUAUGGGUAAGAUGAAGCCAAAGGGGGCCAGAUGGGCCUACUUAAUUUUGAUGGCAUAAUAGAGCCAAUUCUAGAAAAAACUUAAAGUCUUGCCCAUAUGUAAAACAGUCCAUGAAAAUCAGAACACACAGAAAAGAAGGAAAGAGGAAAGAAGACACUAAUUACAACCACGAUGAUGAUGACAACAGCAGCCAAUACUUAUAAAACAAUUCAAUGCCGGGCAUGUUUCUAAAUGUUUUAAAUUUAUUAUGUCAUUUAAUAUUCACAAAAAUCAUAUUGCGGCAAGACCCCCAGGAAGAAGAACUAUGUCCUAGUGAAUCAGAAAUAAACUGUAAAAGAUGAUGGAGACUUCAGAGCAAGGACAAAAGCUUUUCUGCACACAUCGUUCUCUGCUUCACCCUUGGUUUGCCUCCUUCUCAUCUGAGUCCUGCAGCUCCUAGAGUCUGUUCCACACCCUUGCUCCAUAUUGGUGAAAAGCCUGCAUGGCCAGAAGCUGGGAGAGAGUGGAAGGCAGAGAGCUGUGAUCUAGG